rnacentral:rRNA from 1 species
AGUGAACGCUGGCGGUAGGCCUAACACAUGCAAGUCGAACGGCAGCACAGUAAGAGCUUGCUCUUACGGGUGGCGAGUGGCGGACGGGUGAGGAAUACAUCGGAAUCUACUUUUUCGUGGGGGAUAACGUAGGGAAACUUACGCUAAUACCGCAUACGACCUACGGGUGAAAGCAGGGGAUCUUCGGACCUUGCGCGAUUGAAUGAGCCGAUGUCGGAUUAGCUAGUUGGCGGGGUAAAGGCCCACCAAGGCGACGACCCGUAGCUGGUCUGAGAGGAUGAUCAGCCACACUGGAACUGAGACACGGUCCAGACUCCUACGGGAGGCAGCAGUGGGGAAUAUUGGACAAUGGGCGCAGGCCUGAUCCAGCCAUACCGCGUGGGUGAAGAAGGCCUUCGGGUUGUAAAGCCCUUUUGUUGGGAAAGAAAAGCAGCAGGUUAAUACCCCGCUGUUCUGACGGUACCCAAAGAAUAAGCACCGGCUAACUUCGUG